rnacentral:rRNA from 1 species
UACAGAGGUCCCAAGCGUUGUUCGGAUUCAUUGGGCGUAAAGGGUGCGUAGGUGGCGAGGCAAGUCUGGUGUGAAAUCCCGGGGCUCAACCCCGGAACUGCACUGGAUACUGCUUUGCUAGAGUACUGGAGAGGGAACUGGAAUUUACGGUGUAGCAGUGAAAUGCGUAGAUAUCGUAAGGAAGACCAGUGGCGAAGGCGGGUCUCUGGACAGUUCCUGACACUGAGGCACGAAGGCCAGGGGAGCAAACGGG